AAGUCGUAACAAGGUUUCCGUAGGUGAACCUGCGGAAGGAUCAUUCACUAUAAAGUGUUUAAUGGCACUUUCAAAAUCCAUUACCCACCUUGUGUGCAAUGUCAGGAGGAAAAAAAAGAAAGAGAGAUCUUUCUCCAUUUCCUCCAUAACAUUUUACGCUUCUUUCAGUAUCAGUCUACAUCAAAUCGAGUAUACAAAAACUCUAAUACAACUUUCAACAACGGAUCUCUUGGCUCUC
rnacentral:misc_RNA from 1 species